rnacentral:rRNA from 1 species
GACGAACGCUGGCGGCGUGCUUAACACAUGCAAGUCGAACGGAAAGGCCCUGCUUUUGUGGGGUGCUCGAGUGGCGAACGGGUGAGUAACACGUGAGUAACCUGCCCUUGACUUUGGGAUAACUUCAGGAAACUGGGGCUAAUACCGGAUAGGAGCUCCGGCUGCAUGGGGGGGGUUGGAAAGUUUCGGCGGUUGGGGAUGGACUCGCGGCUUAUCAGCUUGUUGGUGGGGUAGUGGCUUACCAAGGCUUUGACGGGUAGCCGGCCUGAGAGGGUGACCGGCCACAUUGGGACUGAGAUACGGCCCAGACUCCUACGGGAGGCAGCAGUGGGGAAUAUUGCACAAUGGGCGGAAGCCUGAUGCAGCAACGCCGCGUGCGGGAUGACGGCCUUCGGGUUGUAAACCGCUUUCGCCUGUGGCGAAGCGUGAGUGACGGUAAUGGGUAAAGAAGCACCGGCUAACUACGUG